rnacentral:rRNA from 1 species
AANCUGCGCUGCUACCAUGCAGUCGAACGGUGAACACGGAGCUUGCUCUGUGGGAUCAGUGGCGAACGGGUGAGUAACACGUGAGCAACCUGCCCCUGACUCUGGGAUAAGCGCUGGAAACGGCGUCUAAUACUGGAUACGAGUAGCGGCCGCAUGGUCAGUUACUGGAAAGAUUUUUUGGUUGGGGAUGGGCUCGCGGCCUAUCAGCUUGUUGGUGAGGUAAUGGCUCACCAAGGCGUCGACGGGUAGCCGGCCUGAGAGGGUGACCGGCCACACUGGGACUGAGACACGGCCCAGACUCCUACGGGAGGCAGCAGUGGGGAAUAUUGCACAAUGGGCGAAAGCCUGAUGCAGCAACGCCGCGUGAGGGAUGACGGCCUUCGGGUUGUAAACCUCUUUUAGCAGGGAAGAAGCGAAAGUGACGGUACCUGCAGAAAAAGCGCCGGCUAACUACGUGCCAGCAGCCGCGGUAAUACGUAGGGCGCAAGCGUUAUCCGGAAUUAUUGGGCGUAAAGAGCUCGUAGGCGGUUUGUCGCGUCUGCUGUGAAAUCCCGAGGCUCAACCUCGGGCCUGCAGUGGGUACGGGCAGACUAGAGUGCGGUAGGGGAGAUUGGAAUUCCUGGUGUAGCGGUGGAAUGCGCAGAUAUCAGGAGGAACACCGAUGGCGAAGGCAGAUCUCUGGGCCGUAACUGACGCUGAGGAGCGAAAGGGUGGGGAGCAAACAGGCUUAGAUACCCUGGUAGUCCACCCCGUAAACGUUGGGAACUAGUUGUGGGGUCCAUUCCACGGAUUCCGUGACGCAGCUAACGCAUUAAGUUCCCCGCCUGGGGAGUACGGCCGCAAGGCUAAAACUCAAAGGAAUUGACGGGGACCCGCACAAGCGGCGGAGCAUGCGGAUUAAUUCGAUGCAACGCGAAGAACCUUACCAAGGCUUGACAUAUACGAGAACGGGCCAGAAAUGGUCAACUCUUUGGACACUCGUAAACAGGUGGUGCAUGGUUGUCGUCAGCUCGUGUCGUGAGAUGUUGGGUUAAGUCCCGCAACGAGCGCAACCCUCGUUCUAUGUUGCAGCACGUAAUGGUGGGAACUCAUGGGAUACUGCCGGGGUCACUCGGAGAAGGUGGGGGGAUGACGUCAAUCAUCAUGCCCCUUAUGUCUUGGGCUUCACCGCAUGCUANAAUGNCNGUACAAAGGNUGCAAUACGCGAGGUGGAANNAUUCCAAANCGGGUCNGCUCGGAAUUGGAGGGUGUGGCAACUUCUGAAACCUCUCUUUU